AUCGACUGAGGAGCAACUCUACAAUGCAGAGUCUAUACUAAUCAGCAUUCCAAAAUAGAAAACGGAAGAUUGUCUAACUUAAACCAAAUAAUCAUUGUAUUUCUUUGUAUCGAUCUCAUCUACAAUUUCCGCUUCGCAAUUUCAGCGACAAAGGUACUGUUCAUUGUUUACAAUCGCAAAGAAAACCAACAGGGAUCUAAAUUUUUGUUAUCGUCAUUACAUAGCAUGAUAUAUUCAUGGCGAAAAGAAACGAGAGGAGAAAAGCCGCAGCAUGUUUUGCGUGGCAAAGUGCACUACCGUUUCAGUACCUUCCCCUGCGUCCUAUCAUGAUAACUUGGCACGUCAUGAUGAUAUCUGGACGUCUCUUUUCCCUAACGCAACCACAGA